rnacentral:tRNA from 1 species
CAAAGGGUAGUUUAAUAAAAAUAAUAAUUUUGGAGAUUAUAGAUGGUAAAUUUUUUAUUUUCUUUGA